rnacentral:lncRNA from 1 species
CAUAACUUGGGAUGUUUUAAAAACCCCGGUGCGCAAGUCCAAGUUUCUCCAGACUGGCACUACAGCAAAAGUUCCCCAAUGCCCCGCAGCUGACUUCACAGGUCGGAGAUGACCCGGUUGGAAUCCCUUCCGGCCUUGUAUCUGCUAAGUACAACUCUCAGUAGCCUAACAGGUAACCGCACAUUGUCAAUGGAGGUGUCCUCUCUGAUCGGGAUCCUGGGAGGUUCUGUUCUGAUAUGUCCAAACUCAGAAAUAGGAAAUGACACCUUGAGGAUUAGCUGGUAUCAUCAUUCACCUGAGGAGAAUCUGCACCUACUCACCAGCAGGCCAGGGGAGAGCAGUCCAAGCUGGAUCAUUCCCCAGAAAGAAUAUGUGGGGAGGUUGUUUAUUCCUGAUGGAAAGUCUCUGGAGAUCCUGAAUCUGACCCUGGAAGACUGUGGGCUUUAUGUGGCUGAAAUCAUAUCUGUCUCAGGAGAGAUCCAGACUAAAAAGUUCAAUUUAACCAUCUCUGGCCCUGAUACUGCAGAGUCUAACAAGGAUCCAUGGAUUUGGAGGGGUCCCCUGCUUGUUGUUAUAGUCCUGAUAAUGUUGGGGUUGAUCACAGUUUUUUACUAUAAAAAAAGAGGCUGCUAUUACAAAAAUCAAGGUAACUUGAGGACAAGGAUGAUUAAAGCUCUUAUGGGGCAAUCUGAUUUGGGGCAUGAAUUACAUUAAUAUUAUAUUUUGGAAAGGGGAGGGAGGAGAUGGGCCCUGAGCCCUGGAGAUUCUGCUCAGUAGACUAAUUUCAUGGAAAGGAUAUGCCAAUUUUCCUUGGACAGCCACUUUUCUCAUACUUUGGCAUUCUCACAGGAAACAUUGCCAGUUGGAGGAAUUUAGGGAAUUAAAACAAAGAGGGGUUAAUUGUGAGAAUUAAAUGAAGCAAGCUUAAUCCAUCUUUUGGCUCAGUUCUGGAGCUGAUGUGGUUCCUCUAAAUUCUGUCCUGUGAGAAAACUCAUUCAGUAACGAAACUUGUGUAGUCUGAAUCUAGUCCUGCAUGGCCCCCUAUGCCUGCUUUGUCAAGAAACUUAACCAAAGACCUGGGUUAUGUUGACCAGAAAUGCAGUCAAAUCCUAAUAGGAUUGAUGUAAGGAGUUUUCUCAUGAUUGUACAUCUCAAGCAAACUCUGUAUCUUAUCUGAAACCUGACCCCACGCUUAUCAAUCAGUUAUUGUUUCCAUGUUCCUCUGAUUACUUACAGAUAUUUGAGGAGGAACUGGGCACCUCUUUUCCUGAGUUCAAGGAAUUGUACCUGUUUACUCUCACCUUCCCACCUUGGACAGUUCCUAGUCUUACCUUCAAUCAGGAUUCAAAUUACAUCAUGUUGUAUUGUUUUCUUUUAAUUCAUUGGUCUUUUUAAAUUAUUUGUUUUUACUGUGUGCCCUCUGAAUGUGGGAUUCAGCCCUAAACUGAGGAAGGAGCCUGGUCCUGAUUUGUUGGCAAUUGGCACGAAUUGCUUAAUAAAUCAACAUGCCCAGAAAAUCA